UACUGCAUUUGUUUUCAACUGAUUUCCAUUAUUUGUCUAAUUCACCAUUAGUUGCAUUGUAAAAGGUGCUAUACAAAGAAAGCUAUCAUUACUGUUAGCGGUUAUUAAAUACAGCAGGGAUACAUGGACAUUUCAAAAGGGGCACUGCAGCCAACUUAAGCAAACAUACAGCAUGGAAGUAUAGUUUUUAUUUUUUGUGUUGUAUGUGUCUCAGUCCAAACAGGUCAUGUGAUAGUAACUCCAGCACUACAGGACAUCCCAGGACAAACCGUGUGUCCCCACUGCCAGCAGUCAGUGACCACCACCACAGUGCCCAAACCGGGCCUGUUGACCUGGGCUGUCUGUGGCAGCCUCGCCGUCUUUUUGUGCUGUCUUUUCUGCUGGAUCCCAUUCUGCAUUGAUGCCUGUAAAGAUGUGGAGCACAGCUGUCCAUCCUGCCACAAUGUUAUCUACAUAUACAAGCGAAUGUGAAACCAUCCCCUGAAAGAUGAACUGAGUGUCAGUGUUUUUCUGUAUCUUAUUAAUAGCCUUACUUAUUCAACAACAUUCCUGGGAUGUUGGACAAAAUGGUUCAAAACUGAACUCCUGACUGCUCAUUAUGUGACUCUUUCCUGCUCAGUAUGAAUGAGAAAACCAUGGACAGUUAUUUUCAGCAAUCAGUGGAACCUUUGUAAUUGAACAAAGAACACAAACCAACACACAGGAAAAUAAAAUGAACUGCCUGCUGUAGUUAUAAGUUGUUGUUUGCACAGAAGUGACUCCUGCUGGUUGUUGAACGUCUCACAUUGUCUGCUGUGCAUCUUUAUGCUUCCUCUCUGCUCCAAUGCCUCACAUUGUUCCUGUUGUCUUUUCUUGUUCCACUUGUUUUUUAUUUUUGUUUGCCUGAUUGAGUUUACACAGUUUUCAAUUGUUUACUUAUGAAAAAUGAAAUUUUUGAAUGUAAUCUGUUCGAACAUAAUAAAGUGAGUCUGUGAGCUGA